rnacentral:rRNA from 1 species
CGGCAACAGCUCAAAUUUGAAAUCUGCCCGCAAGGGCCGAGUUGUAAUUUGUAGAGGAUGUUUUUGGUGAGGUGCCUUCCGAGUUCCCUGGAACGGGACGCCAUAGAGGGUGAGAGCCCCGUCUGGUCGGACACCGAGCCUCUGUAAAGCUCCUUCGAC